CCCCUUUAACGCUGCUCUGGUGAUUACAAUAACUGUCAUGUAUCAUUAACUUGUGUACCAAAUAAACACUGAUAUUUUUCAGAUCCCACGUUUAGAAAGUGUACAUAUAUAUUUCUUGCGUUACAGUUAUAAUUUGGUCAUGUUGCUUGCAAACGUCCUCAACUGAGGGAAGUAUUUGUGGUGUUGUUUCUUCAACAAUUUUGAGACAUUAUUGGAUUAUUUGUUAACUGUCUAAUAAAAAAUAAUCCAGAGUCGAGGGACAUUGGUGCUAGAAUUGGAAAGUGAAUAAGGGGGAAGAGAGGUGCGAUAUAUCCCUUUGUAUUUAGAAUACUAAAGUGUUCCUUUAAUAUGAUGUUUGAUGUAGAUAAAAGAUUUGCAAUACAGUUUUUUGCUAUGAGCCCUUUUGCCUAUAAGACAGAUGCUGUGGACUACAUUUACAUGCUCUUCUAGCCAUAAUGCUGGCAAAGGAUGAGGGAGAUGUAAUCCACAACAUCUGGAGUGCGGAAUGUUGCCAACUACUGCUCUAAGG